UUCCCCUAGUAACUGCGAGUGAAGCGGGAAAAGCUCAAAUUUAAAAUCUGGCGUGCCUUUGGCCGUCCGAGUUGUAGUCUGGAGAAGUGUUUUCUGUGCCGGACCGUGUACAAGUCCCUUGGAACAGGGCUUCAUAAGGGUGAGAAUCCCGUCUUUGACACGGACUACCGGUGCUCUGUGAUGCGCUCUCAACGAGUCGAGUUGUUUGGGAAUGCACUCAAAAUGGGUGGUAAAUUCCAUCUAAAGCUAAAUAUAGGCGAGAGACCGAUAGCGAACAAGUACCGUGAGGGAAAGAUGAAAAGCACUUUGGAAAGAGAGUUAAACAGUACGUGAAAUUGCUGAAAGGGAAACGCUUGAAGUCAGUCAUGUCUGCCAGGACUCAGCCUUGCAGUUUUGCUUGGUGCACUUUCUGGUUGACGGGCCAGCGUCGAUUUUGACCGUUGGAGAAAGGUGGAGGAAAUGUGGCACCUUUCGAGGUGUGUUAUAGUCCUCUGCCGUAUGCGACGGUUGGGAUCGAGGACCGCAGCACGCCUUUAUGGCCGGGGGUCACACCCACGUUACGUGCUUAGGAUGCUGGCUUAAUGGCUUUAAGCGACCCGUCUUGAAACACGGACCAAGGAGUCUSACUUGCCUGCGAGUGUUUGGGUGGAAAACCCAAGCGCGCAAUGAAAGUGAUAGUUGAGACCUCUGUCAUGGAGGGCAUCGACGCCCGGACUUGAUCUACGGAGACGGUUCUGCGGUAGAGCAUGCAUGUUGGGACCCGAAAGAUGGUGAACUAUGCCUGAAUAGGGUGAAGCCAGAGGAAACUCUGGUGGAGGCUCGUAGCGAUUCUGACGUGCAAAUCGAUCGUCAAAUUUGGGUAUAGGGGCGAAAGACU
rnacentral:rRNA from 1 species